rfam:TPA: Bos taurus chromosome 23, whole genome shotgun sequence.
CCAAAGGCUCUUUUAAGAGCCCCUCAAUUGUCACCAGAAAGGAGCUG